rnacentral:misc_RNA from 1 species
UUUCCGUAGGUGAACCUGCGGAAGGAUCAUUAAUGAAUAGUAAGAGUCGUGGAUCAACUUCCAGGCUCGACCCUUUCAUUUUCCUACCCUGUGCACUAUAUCUUAAUAAAGGCUCUUGUCUCGCUUCGUUUUGGAAAGCUCAUUCGAGUGAUUACGCUUGGCGAUGACGACCGCCUUUACAUUUUAUCCAACUCUACAAGUUGAUGUAUGUCUUUAUCAUAACAAAGAAAAACUUUCAACAACGGAUCUCUUGGCUCUCGCAUCGAUGAAGAACGCAGC